AGAGUUUGAUCCUGGCUCAGGAUGAACGCUGGCGGCGUGCCUAAUACAUGCAAGUCGAGCGAACCACUUCGGUGGUGAGCGGCGAACGGGUGAGUAACACGUAGGUGAUCUGCCCAUCAGACGGGGACAACGAUUGGAAACGAUCGCUAAUACCGGAUAGGACGAAAGUUUAAAGGUGCUUCUGGCACCGCUGAUGGAUGAGCCUGCGGCGCAUUAGCUAGUUGGUAGGGUAAAGGCCUACCAAGGCGACGAUGCGUAGCCGACCUGAGAGGGUGAACGGCCACACUGGGACUGAGACACGGCCCAGACUCCUACGGGAGGCAGCAGUAGGGAAUCUUCGGCAAUGGGCGAAAGCCUGACCGAGCAACGCCGCGUGAAUGAUGAAGGCCUUCGGGUUGUAAAAUUCUGUUAUAAGGGAAGAACGACUUUAGUAGGAAAUGGCUAGAGUGUGACGGUACCUUAUGAGAAAGCCACGGCUAACUACGUGCCAGCAGCCGCGGUAAUACGUAGGUGGCGGGCGUUAUCCGGAAUUAUUGGGCGUAAAGAGCGCGCAGGUGGUUGAUUAAGUCUGAUGUGAAAGCCCACGGCUUAACCGUGGAGGGUCAUUGGAAACUGGUCGACUUGAGUGCAGAAGAGGGAAGUGGAAUUCCAUGUGUAGCGGUGAAAUGCGUAGAGAUAUGGAGGAACACCAGUGGCGAAGGCGGCUUCCUGGUCUGUAACUGACACUGAGGCGCGAAAGCGUGGGGAGCAAACAGGAUUAGAUACCCUGGUAGUCCACGCCGUAAACGAUGAGUGUUAAGUGUUGGGGGUCGAACCUCAGUGACUGAAGUU
rnacentral:rRNA from 1 species